AUUAUGCUUAUGUUUUUGAACAGUAAUAAAAUCUUUUAAUCAUCUGUUCUUAUCAGUUUAAUAUCUGAUACGUCCCCCAUCGGGGGACUACAUAUUAAAUGGAUUUUUCGAACAGGGAGUCGGAAAUGGGGCUUGCUCCGUCCGCUCCACGCAUCGACCCGGUAUUGCAGUACCUCCGGGAAUGGUGCAACACUU
rnacentral:snRNA from 1 species